CGGGGCGUGGCGCAGUCUGGCAGCGCACCUGCUUUGGGAGCAGGGGGUCGGAGGUUCAAAUCCUCUCGCCCCGA
rnacentral:tRNA from 2 species